rnacentral:rRNA from 1 species
GAAGGCCUUAUGGUUGUAAGGCACUUACUGCGACGGAGGCUGCUACUGUUGAUCAUACCUACUAGAUACUGGAACGUUACUCGCAGAAUUAGCAGCCGGCUAACUCUGUGCCAGCAGCCGCGGUAAUACAGAGGGUGCAAGCGUUAAUCGGAUUUACUGGGCGUAAAGCGCGCGUAGGCGGCUAAUUAAGUCAAAUGUGAAAUCCCCGAGCUUAACUUGGGAAUUGCAUUCGAUACUGGUUAGCUAGAGUGUGGGAGAGGAUGGUAGAAUUCCAGGUGUAGCGGUGAAAUGCGUAGAGAUCUGGAGGAAUACCGAUGGCGAAGGCAGGCAUCUGGCCUAACACUGACGCUGAGGUGCGAAAGCAUGGGGAGCAAACAGGAUUAGAUACCCUGGUAGUCCAUGCCGUAAACGAUGUCCUACUAGCCGUUGGGGCCUUUGAGGCUCUAGUGGCGCAGCUAACGCGAUAAGUAGACCGCCUGUGGAAGUACGGUCGCCAAGAAUUAAAAUCAAAUGAAUUGACG